rnacentral:lncRNA from 1 species
UAAUAGUUGGCAGAAAUUGGGAAGCAUUUUAGUCACGUGAUCUACCUUUGAUGUUUAAAUUAAUCUUCAAAUGCUUUUUGGAGAUCAAAGACAAAGGUGCAGGACUCAUCCACCUUGGCCCUCUGCUGACUACAAUCAAAAUACGCACACAGCCUUUGUGAUCCCAUCCCCAGCCCCCAGUUUACAUAGCCGCUGGAUUGUUGCUUCCCAGGUCCGAAGGGAAGGAUGCACGUCAGUCUCUGCUUAACGGCGUAUUGGGUUUGUGUCGUGCAGUAGUAAGAGCUGGGAUCCUGCUGCGAUAGCAAUCAGCAAUGUUGACCUGUACGAAGGCCACACCCCCAGGAAGCUGACUUGGACUGAAAUCAAUGUUGGCUCGGUCAUCAACUGUACUCUCCCAGGAUUUCUGGACAGAGUCGUAUACAGAUACAGUAAUUCACUAUCCUGCGUCAAACGCCUGGAAGUGCUGGCAUGGAGUGAGGACAGGACAUCUGCUCCCUGGGGCUGGGCACAUGCCAUCAGACUGAAAGGAGGCCCACCGAGAAUGGUGUCAGAUUAUAGCCUGGAUGAUGCCUCUCCAGAUAAGGGACAGGAAGAUCUUUCUCUGGAGAAACUGAAACACCAACUGGGGAUCCCCAACAAAAAUAGGUCCAACUUCUCCAUUGUCCUUCCACCAGUCUACAGCUCUGCCUGCCCUGAGAACUUCCAAUCAGCAUUUGGGUGCUUCACCCUCCAAUAGAGAGAGACACACAAGGAUCGUCAGAAGGUAAGGAGUGCUAGAAGGAAAAGGCUAAAUCAAGAGGAAAUAGCAAAUAAGGGGGUACCUGACUAAGCGUCGACUCUUGAUUUCGGCUCAGGUCAUGGUGUCUGGGUUGUGGGAUUGAGCCCUGCUUCAGGCUCUGUGCUGAGUGUGGAUCCUGCUUGAGAUUCUCACUCUCUCCCUCUCUGCCCCUCUCCCCUUCCCCUGCUCACACUCUCUCUCAUCCUCUCUCUUUAAAAAAAAAGAAAGAACAAAUAAGUAGAAAAGGGGGUG